rnacentral:rRNA from 1 species
GAUGAACGCUAGGGGCAUGCUUAACACAUGCAAGUCGAACGAUUCUUUUUUUUCGUAAGAAAAAAAAGAAGAGUGGCGGACGGGUGAGUAACGCGUAAGAACUUACCCCUAGGAGGGGAAUAACUGCUAGAAAUGGUAGCUAAUACCCCAUAAGCUGAGGAGUAAAAUGGAAUAUUCCGCCUAGGGAUAGGCUUGCGUCUGAUUAGCUAGUUGGUAAAGUAAUGGUUUACCAAGGCAACGAUCAGUAGCUGGUCUGAGAGGAUGAUCAGCCACACUG